UACAGGGGGUGCAAACGUUUGCUCGGAAUUAUUGGGCGUAAAGCGCGCGUAGGCGGCCGCUUAAGUCGGAUGUGAAAGCCCCUGGCUCAACUGGGGAAGUGCACCCGAAACUGAGUGGCUUGAGUACUAAAGAGGGUCGCGGAAUUCCCGGUGUAGAGGUGAAAUUCGUAGAUAUCGGGAGGAACACCGGUGGCGAAGGCGGCGACCUGGGUAGAUACUGACGCUGAGGCGCGAAAGCGUGGGGAGCAAACAGGG
rnacentral:rRNA from 1 species